rnacentral:sRNA from 1 species
AAAAAAUAACAUGUGUUGAAUUUUCAGUGUUAAAAAAAACAUGUGUUGAAUUUUUUGGAAAUUGUCUUUUUCUUUUAAUGCCUAAAGUCAAAUAUGUAUCACCAAUCCGUUUCACGGUCAUUUCCCGUAGAUCAGUCCAAAUUUUAAAUUACUAGUCAAAAAUUUGUUACUUUAGACAUUCAACUAUUUUAAAGACUACAAAAUGUCUGAUUACAAAAACAAAUCCAUUCACUCAUUUUAUCUUACAACAAAAUACCAAAC